CAGAGGAAUAUUCUCCAUCUCGCUUGUAUGGAGAGACAGAUUUAGAGGAAAGUGUGAUAUAGAGGAUCUCAAGUUUGAAAUUUACCACAAAAAAUAUUGAUACAUGUCUUAUGGAGAUGGAUAUGCAAAGUGAAACAAUCAAGAAUCUUAUGCUAUUUUUAAUUCUGGAGUUGGAAGCACAAUUCUACAAAUUUGAUUAUUCUCCAUAUAGGCAAUUUAUAGUAAUCUAUUGAAUGGCAUUUGUACCUUCAUUUGUUAAAUUCUAAUAGUUGAAGUGUUGAUUUAAGC